UGAGUACGAGAUGCUACGGCAUCGAAGCAGUCUAUGUCAUACUUCCAAGAAAAGCUUGCACUGUCAUAAACAAAGAAUGCCUGUACCAUAACCGACACAGGUGGGUAGGUAGAGUAUACUAAGGGGCGCGAGAUAACUCUCUCUAAGGAACUCGGCAAAAUGACUCCGUAACUUCGGGAGAAGGAGUGCCUUAUUUCUAAGGUUGCAAUAACAAGAUCCAAGCAACUGUUUACCAAAAACACAGGUCUCCGCUAAGUCGUAAGACGAUGUAUGGGGGCUGACGCCUGCCCAGUGCCAGAAGGUUAAAGAAGUUGGUUAGCAUUAGCGAAGCUGAUAACUGAAGCCCUGGUGAACGGCGGCCGUAACUAUAACGGUCCUAAGGUAGCGAAAUUCCUUGUCGGGUAAGUUCCGACCCGCACGAAAGGCGUAAUGGUUUGGAUACUGUCUCGGAGAGGGGCUCGGUGAAAUAGACUUGUCUGUGAAGAUGCGGACUACCUGCACCUGGACAGAAAGACCCUAUGAAGCUUUACUGUAACUUGAGAUUGAAAUUGGACUUUAUUUGCGCAGUAUAGGUGGGAGGCGUUGAGAAUAAUCUUGCGGGAUUGUUGGAGCCAUCAGUGAGAUACCACUCUUGUAAUGUUAGAUUUCUAACUUUGUAUCAUUAUCUGGUCAAAGAACAGUUUCAGGCGGGCAGUUUGACUGGGGCGGUCGCCUCCCAAAGGGUAACGGAGGCGCACAAAGGUUUCCUCUGAACGGGUAGAAAUCGUAUCUAGAGUGUAAAGGCAUAAGGAAGCUUGACUGUGAGACCUACAAGUCGAGCAGGGACGAAAGUCGGUCUUAGUGAUCUGACGGUGCUGAGUGGAAAGGCCGUCACUCAACGGAUAAAAGUUACUCUAGGAUAACAGGCUGAUCUCCCCCAAGAGUUCACAUCGACGGGGAGGUUUGGCACCUCGAUGUCGGCUCAUCGCAUCCUGGGGCGGUAGUCCGUCCCAAGGGUUGGGCUGUUCGCCAUGAAAGCGGUACGCGAGCUGGGUUCAGAACGUCGUGAGACAGUUCGGUCCAUAUCCGGUGUAGGCGUUAGAAUAUUGAGAGGAGCCUUCUCUAGUACGAGAGGACCGAGAAGGACAUACCUCUGGUGUACCAGUUAUCGUGCCAACGGUAAACGCUGGGUAGCUAUGUAUGGAGUGGAUAACCGCUGAAAGCAUCUAAGUGGGAAGCCCACCUCAAGAUAAG
rnacentral:rRNA from 1 species